UACAGAGGUCUCAAGCGUUGUUCGGAUUCAUUGGGCGUAAAGGGUGUGUAGGUGGCGCGUAAGUCGGGUGUGAAAUUUCGGAGCUUAACUCCGAAACUGCAUUCGAUACUGCGUGCUUGAGGACUGGAGAGGAGACUGGAAUUUACGGUGUAGCGGUGAAAUGCGUAGAUAUCGUAAGGAAGACCAGUGGCGAAGGCGGGUCUCUGGACAGUUCCUGACGCUGAGGCACGAAGGUCAGGGGAGCAAACGGG
rnacentral:rRNA from 1 species